UCGAGAAUUUUUCUCAAUGGGGGAAACCCUGAAGGAGCGACGCCGCGUGGAGGAUGAAGGUUUUCGGAUUGUAAACUCCUGUCAUGAGGGAGCAAACUUAUUGGGAGUAACUGCCCGGUAAUUGAUAGUACCUCAAGAGGAAGGGACGGCUAACUCUGUGCCAGCAGCCGCGGUAAUACAGAGGUCCCAAGCGUUGUUCGGAUUCAUUGGGCGUAAAGGGUGCGUAGGCGGCGCCGUUAGUCGGAUGUGAAAUCUCGGGGCUCAACCCUGAAACUGCAUUCGAUACUGCGGUGCUAGAGGACUGGAGAGGAAACUGGAAUUCACGGUGUAGCAGUGAAAUGCGUAGAUAUCGUGAGGAAGACCUGUGGCGAAGGCGGGUUUCUGGACAGUACCUGACGCUGAGGCACGAAGGCCAGGGGAGCAAACGGG
rnacentral:rRNA from 1 species